ACUCACCGUCACUCACAAGGUUGUUUGGCUACAAAACAAGUUCAGAAAUCAGAUCAGGACCCUACAAUUUUUGAAGUGACCUAUCGAGGAAGACAUACAUGUUUACAAGCCUCUCGUUUAGCCGUAGCCUUAUCACCAGCAUCCCUGAAAAAUGACAAAUCGAAACAAGACAAGGAUAGUUGUCAAGUAGAACAACCUGAACAGAAGCCAAAGCCAUUGAAGGAGUUGUCUUUCAACUUUAGAGAAGAAGUUAAAAGCCAGGACUCGAACAAUGUGGAGGACAUAUUUCCAUUAUUUUCCUUUCCAGAUGCUUACAUAGGGAAUGGAAAUGAGGAAAAUGAUAUUUUCAAGGAGUCCAUGAUGGAAAACGAUUUCUUGAGUAGUCUUUCUUCUGCAUUUAUAUCUCCGGCUACAUCUGACUCUAGCUGUUUCGCUAUGACACCAUGCCACAUGAACAGUUUAGGAAUAGACCACAAUGUGAGAACUCCGGAAUCUAAUUUAGCCCCAACUUCGGCUACCAAUUCGCCAAAUGGCUAUUGGGACAUCUCAUUAGAUAAUGUGGAUUUUGAUACCAAUUUCCCUCUAGAUAACCCAGAAUUAUUUACUUAAUUAAUACCGUCACUUGAUGUUGAAGGGAUUGCUCUAGUGGGUGUCGUAGUUUUUUGCAGGUACUUGUCUAGAAUCUAGAAUCAAUGAUGUUGAAGGAAGUUGCUCUAGUGGGUGUUGUAGUUUUUGCAGGUACUUGUCUAUAAUCUAGAAUCAAUGAUGUUGGGGAAAUAAAAAGGAUGAAGGCGCA
rnacentral:misc_RNA from 1 species